UCGCACAGGAGCAAGUUACCGCGUUCAGCUCGCCUGCCGUAACUCGCUGCUGUGAGAGG
rnacentral:pre_miRNA from 1 species